rnacentral:rRNA from 1 species
CCAGACUCCUACGGGAGGCAGCAGUGGGGGAUAUUGGACAAUGGGGGGAACCCUGAUCCAGCGACGCCGCGUGAGUGAAGAAGUAUCUCGGUAUGUAAAGCUCUAUCAGCAGGGAAGAAAGAAAUGACGGUACCUGAGUAAGAAGCCCCGGCUAACUACGUGCCAGCAGCCGCGGUAAUACGUAGGGGGCAAGCGUUAUCCGGAUUUACUGGGUGUAAAGGGAGCGUAGACGGCAGUGCAAGUCUGAAGUGAAAGCCCCGGGCUUAACCCGGGAACUGCUUUGGAAACUGUACGGCUGGAGUGCUGGAGAGGUAAGCGGAAUUCCUAGUGUAGCGGUGAAAUGCGUAGAUAUUAGGAGGAACACCAGUGGCGAAGGCGGCUUACUGGACAGUAACUGACGUUGAGGCUCGAAAGCGUGGGGAGCAAACAGGAUUAGAUACCCGAGUAC